rnacentral:rRNA from 1 species
UACGUAGGGGGCAAGCGUUGUCCGGAUUUAUUGGGCGUAAAGAGCUCGUAGGCGGUUUGGUAAGUCGGGGGUGAAAUCUCCGUGCUCAACACGGAGGGGCCACCCGAUACUGCCAUGACUUGAGUCCGGUAGAGGAGAGUGGAAUUCCCGGUGUAGCGGUGAAAUGCGCAGAUAUCGGGAGGAACACCAGUAGCGAAGGCGGCUCUCUGGGCCGUGACUGACGCUGAGGAGCGAAAGCGUGGGGAGCGAACAGG